rnacentral:rRNA from 2 species
AAACGGGUUAAUAUUCCCGUACCUUGGAUAGCUGCGAUGGAGAGACGGAGAAGGCUAGGUGAGCCGGGCGACGGUUGUCCCGGUUUAAGCGAGUAGGGAGUGGACUUAGGCAAAUCCGGGUCCACAAUCCUGAGACGCGACGACGAGUGCCCAAGGGCGCGAAGUCAUUGAUGCCCUGCUUCCAGGAAAAUCUUCUAAGCUUCAGGCUAUUCGAGACCGUACCCCAAACCGACACAGGUGGUCAGGUAGAGAAUACCAAGGCGCUUGAGAGAACUCGGGUAAAGGAACUAGGCAAAAUGGUGCCGUAACUUCGGGAGAAGGCACGCCGGUGUGUACGUGAAGCCCCUGCGGGUGGAGCGGAAGCCGGUCGAAGAUACCAGGCCCCUGCGACUGUUUAUUAAAAACACAGCACUCUGCAAACACGUAAGUGGACGUAUAGGGUGUGACGCCUGCCCGGUGCCGGAAGGUUAAUUGAUGGGGUUAGCAUUCGUGCGAAGCUCUUGAUCGAAGCCCCGGUAAACGGCGGCCGUAACUAUAACGGUCCUAAGGUAGCGAAAUUCCUUGUCGGGUAAGUUCCGACCUGCACGAAUGGCGUAACGAUGGGGGCGCUGUCUCUACCCGAGACUCAGUGAAAUUGAAAUCGCCGUGAAGAUGCGGUGUAUCCGCGGCUAGACGGAAAGACCCCGUGAACCUUUACUAUAGCUUCACAGUGAACUUUGAGCAUGCUUGUGUAGGAUAGCUGGGAGGCUUUGAACCCGGGACGCCAGUUCCGGUGGAGCCAACCUUGAAAUACCAGCCUGGCAUGUUUGAGGUUCUAACUCUGACCCCUUAUCGGGGUUGAGGACACUGUGUGGUGGGUAGUUUGACUGGGGCGGUCUCCUCCCAAAGCGUAACGGAGGAGCACAAAGGUGGGCUAAGUACGGUCGGACAUCGUACGGUUAGUGUAAUGGCACAAGCCCGCUUGACUGCGAGACAGACACGUCGAGCAGGUACGAAAGUAGGUCAUAGUGAUCCGGUGGUUCUGUAUGGAAGGGCCAUCGCUCAACGGAUAAAAGGUACUCCGGGGAUAACAGGCUGAUACCGCCCAAGAGUUCACAUCGACGGCGGUGUUUGGCACCUCGAUGUCGGCUCAUCACAUCCUGGGGCUGAAGCCGGUCCCAAGGGUAUGGCUGUUCGCCAUUUAAAGUGGUACGCGAGCUGGGUUUAGAACGUCGUGAGACAGUUCGGUCCCUAUCUGCCGUGGACGUUGGAGAUUUGAGGAAAGCUGCUCCUAGUACGAGAGGACCGGAGUGGACGAACCGCUGGUGUUCGGGUUGUGUCGCCAGACGCAUUGCCCGGUAGCUAUGUUCGGACAGGAUAACCGCUGAAAGCAUCUAAGCGGGAAGCCCCUUCCAAGAUGAGAUCUCCCUGAGGCCUUGAGCCUCCUGAAGAGCCGUUCAAGACCAGGACGUUGAUAGGCUGGGUGUGUAAGCGCUGUGAGGCGUUGAGCUAACCAGUACUAAUUGCUCGUGCGGCUUGACUAUAUAACACCCAAG